rnacentral:tRNA from 1 species
CAAAGAAUGGGUGAAUGGUUAAACCGCUAGAUUGUAAAUCUGGUUCUUUUAGAAUUGCAAGUUCAAGUCUUGCUUCUUUAA